GGAUUGUGGCUCAGUGGCAGAGCUCUUGCCACACACGCAUGAGGCACUGGGUUCUAUCCUCAGCACCA
rnacentral:tRNA from 1 species